AGAAUCAACGCUGGCGGCGUGCCUAACACAUGCAAGUCGUACGCGAAAGGGGAGCAAUCCCUGAGUAGAGUGGCAAACGGGUGAGUAACACGUGGGUGACCUGCCUCAGAGUGGGGGAUAACGUCCCGAAAGGGACGCUAAUACCGCAUAACAUCCUGCCCUUGGAAGGGUGGAGAUCAAAGCCGGGGAUCGCAAGACCUGGCGCUUGGAGAGGGGCCCGCGUCUGAUUAGCUAGUUGGUAGGGUAAUGGCCUACCAAGGCGACGAUCAGUAUCCGG
rnacentral:rRNA from 1 species